ACAGCUGCUAGCUCAGGUGCCAAUCUUUAAAAAAAAAAAAAAAAAAAGGCACAUCACUGAAGAGCUAAGUAAAGACUAGCGGUGGUUUGGGCAGUAGGACUUGAAAAAUUGUCAUUUCUCCCAAAUCUCCACUGUCUGGCGUAACAGGCUCACGAGUCUCUAGUCUGGUGAAACCCUUGGCAAGGAAAGGUUGCAGCUAUUGCUGUCUCUAAUUCUCCCUGGGAAUCUCUUCUAUAGGGAUCCCCUAAGAUAUUCAUGAAUCUCCACUCUGCACAGAACUUGAAAUUCGAGCAAGCAAAAUGCUCUCUAAAUGUGUCUUCAACAACCUGUGCUAUCAACUGAUUUUUGGAAGUGAGUUUAUCACUCUUGCCUUUAAACCUUACUCUACACUGAGUAAAACAGUCCUUUAUGGUUCCUGCUCACUUCUCAUGACUGCUGGUGAGGGGUCAACAAUGCCAUGGGGAAAUGUGAGUAGGAGUAGACCUUUGCUUUGGGAUGACCUAGAAAGGGAUGGAAGAGUUGAAAAGAUUUGUUCAUGUAUCUGAAUCCGAGAUAGAUCUCAGUCCUAUCCACUAUUCCACUUAAUGUUCAUUGUCCAGUUAGCUUCUCCUCUAACUGCUAGGAGUAUAGUUGUCAACUGCAGUGUUGGUCCAGGUGCUGAAGAGCCCAUAGGAAGGAAGAGACGCACAAACUCUUAUGGCCCGUGGUGCGAGUACCUCACCUGCCCUUCCUUUAAGGAACUGUCUCCCUGGACCUCCCCACCCAUUAUAAACCUCAGAAACAAUGACACAGAGGGUUGCUUAUGGGACCUUUGUGACUUAAUAGGCUGGUGUCCAAAGUGUACAUGGGUCAAUCUUCCAGAAAUUUAUUUUAAAUUCGUUUUAUUUUGGACCUGUGCUAUCUCCAAAAAGCAAAUUCCAUGUGUUUAUCAGAACUACUUGUAUUACACAUCAUUGUGUGCCUUGAGAUCCCAGAGUUUUUGGAACAAGCUGCCGCUUAACCAUCCCCAAUUGUAAUCUUCAUUGUUUCCCUUCAACUUAGGAAUUUGAUGAAAGAAGGGUUUGUGUUAAUCUAUUUGUGAUCUUUCCUGAAAGAAUGCUCGGACUUGUGUGCAAAGAGGUGUUAAAAGAAUACUUGCUUGUUACACUGAAAGCAGUAAGUCCCAGGUGCUGGUCUAUAGCUUAAUGCCACUCCAAGAUAAAGUUUUCUCCAGUUUUACUGAAAUGAAAAAAAUGAGAACACAGUGGAUUUUACAUAAAAUUAAGUCUAUUCAAUUUAAAGGGUUAUAUGCCUUCUGUAUGAAAAUGUUGCAGUCUAAUAUGAUUCAGAGUGUGGCUCUGGAGACAAGACUGCUUGAGUUCAAAUCUGGCUCCACCACUUACUGGCUUGUAACCUGGGGCAACUAAUUUAUCCUAUCAGCACCUCAGAUUCCUCAUCUAUAAAAUUGGGGUUAAUUAUACCUAUCUCAGAGUAGUUAUGAGGAUUACAUGUGAAGUGCUUAAAAAAAAGGCAAAAACAUGCUUACAAUACUAUUUAUUGUAAUAAAAUUGCAAAUGACCUAAUUGCCCAUCCAGGGAGAGUGGUUGAAUUAUGAUAAUACAAUAGUUAAAACAGAAUGAAAGAGAUAGGAACUUGCAUGGAACAAUAUUUAAUAAGACAGUGAAAAAUGCUACAGAAAAAAUGUGUAUGUGUGCGUAAGCACCAAGAAGGAUGGGCCCUUGUUUAACAUUGGUUGUUUCAGGAGAGUAAAGGGGUGGUUGAGAAGGGAGACGUAUUCCAACUCCUUUCUAGAUGGUUUCAAAUCUGUGCCCCCUAGGCUUCCAGGAGGGCUGAAGUUCUUGAUGACAUAGCAUCAGCAUUGUUCACAACAAGCGUCCCCCGUCCAAGAGCCAGCAAUGUAAUUCUACCCUGAAGUCAGACUGUGCUCCCAAAUUUGGUAGACUUAUUUUGCAUAAGUCUCUGGUUCAUUCUCUGUGGAUCCCCCAGGGCCUCUAGAAACUACAUCUCAUGAUACUUUCUGAACCUCAAUGCAGUUCAUUGUAGUUAUACUCCGCUUAUUCCUCAAAUAGUCUGAAGGGGCAAGCCAUGGCUCCCUUUUGAUCAGGCCCAGCUGACUCUAAAUGGAAGUUUUAGACAAAUGUUGAUUUCUGGGAAAGGAUCUUGCACUUGGUGAAACAAUAUUAACAGGGAAAUGAGCUUUGGGAUUUUCACUUUUUUCACACUUUCUUGACCUCAUUACCAGCCUUAUCCUCCCAUCUUUUUUUUUUUUUUUUUUUUGGUCAUCAGAAGUUGAGUGGUGAAGUUCACUCUCCAGCUAGUAGGUCUCAGCCAACCCCUCUGAUUUAUUCUAGCACCCACUCCUCUGACCACGCAACACCUACCAGGACUCCUCUUACUGAACACAUCUACCUUCAGAAAUUUCUGAUAUCACUGUUUCCCAAACUUUGUCCUCCAAACAUUACAACCAAUGUGAAAAAGAUGCUGUGGGUCAUAAGAGCUCAGAAAAUUGUCUGUCUCCCUCCUGCAGUUGUGCUGUGUGCAAUAGCAUAUUAAAGGCUCCGAGAAGUUCAGCCUUAAAGGAACUGGCUUAAUUUUGUUUAACCCAGUGUUUUCUAAUUUCCAAUUUCACUUUUUAUUUCAUUUUCUUUUUCGAUCGGUGAACGUCCCUCAAACUUUGAGAAACACUCUUGAAGCUAUGACCUCUCCCCUCUCUCCUUAUCUAGCACUGCUCAUUGCACUUGGUUCCAGGCCUCUUUAAGGACAGAAACGUGCUGCCAUAGACUGGAGGUAGGCCAAAAACUGGGCCCGGGUAUUCUACUGCUGAAAUAGAACACAAGUAUAAAAUGGAACAGUAUAAACAUAAAUAUUUUCCCAAUUCACAGGGAAGUGGGUGAAACGUUUUUCAGGUUAAAUUUUUCUUCCAUAAGUUGUUCUUAAUCAGUUGGUACUUGCUAUGGCUUGUCUUCAAGCAGGUGUUAACAGACAAAAUAAUAGUCAAUUUGGACAUGUGAUUUUAAAAAAUUAUCUGAUUGAUUUUAUAAAAUACAAAUGUGAUACAAGCUCUUGAUAAAAUACAUCUAAUGAUAUAUAGGAGUAUCCAGUAAAGAGUGAAAAAUCCCCUCUCACUUAGCCUCACACCCCCAAAGGAAACCACUGAAUGAGAAUAUUUUUCCAUCUGUUUAUUCAUUCAACAAAUAUUUAUUAAAUGUCUUCUGUGUUUCCAGCAUUGGAAAUGCAGUGAUGAACAAAACUGACCAAGUCCCUGCCCUAGUGGAACUUAUAUUAAAGUGGAGAGGAGACAGACAAAUAGGAACAACACAACGUAUGUUCGUCAUAAAAAAAUUCAGAUAAUCUAGAAUGGCAAAAAGGAGAAAAUUGACGAAGAUGAAAACAAGACUGUUAAUACAGUAUUUCCAGUGGAGUGGAGAAAUACAUCCUCAUGCAUUGUUGGUCAGCACAAACUGGUAAAAUCUCUUUGGCAGGCAACUGGGUAAGUAGCUAUGAACAUUUUAAAUGCACCUACCCUUUGACCCAGCAAUUUCACUUCCAGGACUUUUUCAGAUAUUCCUACAGAGGUGAAUGCACAAAGAAGCAUGAACAGAUGGUUUCACUGCUAUAUUGUUAAUAAUAGCAAUACACUCAAAAUAACCUAAAUGUAAAAGCAGUGAGUAUAUGUGUUAGCACUUGUUUGAACAGAGGGAUAUUUAUACUUCAAUGAUUUUGUAUACACAUAGGAUAAUUCUAGAAGAAUACAUAAGAAAUUGCUAACAAUGGUUGGUUCCGAGAAAGGAGGUAGGAGAGGAUACAUCCUUUUCACUAUAUAAUAUCUUUUGAACUGCUUGAAUUUUCACAGUGGGCAGAUAUUAUAUAUUCAAAUAAAUAAAUAAUUAAAAUUUCACAUUUAUUUGAUGAAUGAGGUUUAGCACCUUUUUUUUUCUUCUCUGAGCCUCUUUGUUCGUAUCCUCAAUUUUAUUUAAAAUUUAAAAAUUUUGUUUAGUUGUCUUAUUGGUUUUUUAGAGCUCAUUAUCUGUUAAGUACCUUUACUCUUGGCUGUAGAUAUUGCAAUUUUGUUUAGUGGUUGAAUUUUAGAAUUUCAGGAAUUUCCCCACAAUUAUGAGGUAUUUAAGGCAGUUUGCCAUGAUCCUAAAGACACAAUCCCAUCUUUUCACACGGUUUUCCAUCCACAAGGGUGGGGCGUAUGUUUGUACGCUUAGGCUUAGGUGUUGUUUACCAGCUCCUUGAGUCAUCCUGGAGCUGCAUUCUUCCCUCCUGCUCCUGGCACUGGAGCAGGGCUCUAGACUCCAGGUCAACAGCUGGCAUCAAAAGAAGCCUGAAGAAAGGUGAAGCUUAGCAGAGCCAGGCAUCCAUCUGCCUUGCUCUGGAGCCUGCUGUGAGGAUGGAUGUGACCUUGCUGCUCGAGGGGGUAGGGUAAGUUCUGGGACCAUGGCUCUGGUGGGAACAGUAGGCAGAGCUGCCUGGCCCCUCGACUCCUUCAGUAUGUAGCCCAGGCCUCCCAAACACUGGCCUUGAGGAAUGGAGGUAAUGCUCCCAAUUUUGGAAUGGGAGGUAAUGCUCCCACUCUGCUCACCUGGAGUCAGAGUGGAAAAUACUGACUGCUGUAUCCAGCAAGGGGAUGCUUCAGCACUUGGGGGAGAAAAAGGCCUUUCAGGCUUAUCCAAAGAAGGCCUCACUUUCAAGGGAGAAUACCAUCUCCCCACCAUGCCCAGAGACUUUUCAACAGACCAAGGCUACCACCUCCCACCUUACAGAUUAGCUGGCAGCCUCCAACACCUCCUGUUUCCCCUUGGCUCCCUGCAAAGCAGACUCCCAUUGCCUCUAACCCCCAUGAAAGCUGUUUUUCUGAGCAUCAGGCCUGAGCAUAAUCUCCUUUAGAAGUUGAAGUGGCUUGCUCUGUUUUUGCAGCCAAUACUUCAGGGCAGAAGCUCUGAUGGCCUUUUAGAUAAACCUAUCCUCUGCUUCCUCCCCUGAGCUUUUUCUGGAAGCAGCUCGCCAAGGUUUACUAGAACAACAUGGCUGCCGCCCCAAUACCAGCCAUAACCUUAAGAAGGGAGAAGGCGCUGAGCUGCCCAAGGGCAUGACCAGAGGAGCUCAGAAAAAGAGACCUCCAGAGACAAGAAGACAGAGGUUGAAGGGGUGCAAGGUGGGGCUGGAAGAGUUUGUAGAGUGUGCAAGCUCGUGUUUCAUCUUCUCUUGUCUGGGCCUCGGCCUUCCCAGAGCUGUUGCCAUCUCUGCUGUCUCUUCUCCUCUUUUCUGCAAAACCACAAAAAUGCAGGUUGAAGCUGCUUAAAGGUUUCCAGUAAUGUGUUGAUAAUUUCCUCUAAGUGGCUGCUCCCCUGCAGACUGACUUCACCGACCUAAAAUAAUUCACUUUCACUUUCGGCUCUGUUUGGACCUGAGGCCAGAGCAGCAUAGCAUGGCUCCAAGCUCUGCCCCGUGGGCUCAGACAAGCAGGGCCUCAAAUGGUUUUGCUAACAUGAAAAUUUAUAAUGAAAUAAGGGGGCUGUGCCUAAAGACGUACCACAGAGUAAAUAUAUCAUCUGCACAGGCUCUUGGCUGACUCCAAACCACGGAAUAUAACGGGGAGAAGGUAGAGACACAGACUUUCUGUGGGGUACGCCCAGAAACAGGCAAAUAGCACCCCUUCCAUUCUGGAAAGGGGGGGCCCAAACAGCUUUGUGUGAAUUUGGGCCCAAAACAUCUCCUGAGGAAAUGAGUAUGUUGUUCUAAGCCUUACUCUAAUCCUCAUAUUUGUGGAAAUAAAUUGGUCUUUCUUACCCUGUGCAAAGUCCUAAAGCUACCCAGACAAACAAGCUCAGUCACUGAACGGAAACAGGCUAGUAAACAGACACUUGUAGUAUGGGAUGAUAAAUACAUUGAUGGGUCAGAAUCAAACACAAGUGCUGGCCCCUCCCCAGGAGAGGGAAAGGUGUGUAAAAUCUCGGGGUGAUGGGGAGGGGUGUGCUGUUUUGAAUUGGGAAUAGAAUGGAGGAGUGGAGUUCUGCUCUUGUUUCUCCCUCUUGACUGCCUUGGAACACAAAGUACCUGCCGCCUCCACCUCUGCAGUGACUCAGAUCUCUGCUCUGUGUGCCCUUGGAGUCAAAUCAGGGCCGCCCAGACCUUUUGUGUUUGGGAGGCACUGAGAAAAACAGGUGGGGCCUAACUGACUUCCAGCAGUUGCCUUCUCAUCACCCCCUCCAAACAGCCAGAUUGAGGAGUGACAUUUUUAGGAGUGAGUACUCCUAAAGCUCCUCUCUAGAGAGCAAAUCAUGAAAACAUGACUUGAGGAGUUGUUUCAUGGGGUGAGGAGUAACUGCCUGUGUUUUUCUUUUCCUUCUUUCUUUCUUUCUUUCUUUCUUUCUUUCUUUCUUUUUUUUUUUUUUGAGGAAGA